rnacentral:rRNA from 1 species
CCUACGGGUGGCAGCAGUGGGGGAUAUUGCACAAUGGGGGCAACCCUGAUGCAGCGACGCCGCGUGAGCGAUGGAGUACUUCGGUAUGUAAAGCUCUGUCAGCAGGGAAGAGAAUGACGGUACCUGACCAAGAAGCCCCGGCUAAAUACGUGCCAGCAGCCGCGGUAAUACGUAUGGGGCAAGCGUUAUCCGGAUUUACUGGGGGGAAAGGGAGCGUAGACGGUUAUGCAAGUCUGAAGUGAAAGCCAAAGGCUCAAACAUGGGACUGCUUUGGAAACUGUAAAACUGGAGUGCAGGAGAGGUAAGCGGAAUUCCUAGUGUAGCGGUGAAAUGCGUAGAUAUUAGGAGGAACACCAGUGGCGAAGGCGGCUUACUGGACUGUAACUGACGUUGAGGCUCGAAGGCGUGGGGAGCAAACAGGAUUAGAUACCCCAGUAGUC